UACGUAGGGUGCAAGCGUUGUCCGGAAUUAUUGGGCGUAAAGAGCUCGUAGGCGGUUCGUCGCGUCGGCUGUGAAAACCCGGAGCUCAACUCCGGGCCUGCAGUCGAUACGGGCGGACUCGAGUUCGGCAGGGGAGACUGGAAUUCCUGGUGUAGCGGUGAAAUGCGCAGAUAUCAGGAGGAACACCGGUGGCGAAGGCGGGUCUCUGGGCCGAUACUGACGCUGAGGAGCGAAAGCGUGGGGAGCGAACAGGAUUAGA
rnacentral:rRNA from 1 species